rfam:Xanthomonas albilineans GPE PC73 complete genome
AGGCGAAGUGAUUCGCCACAAGCCGUGACGCACGGCCGCUGAGCGGCGGAUUUCCUCGUCGGGUCCGCCGCUUUUUU